rnacentral:tRNA from 1 species
UCCCGGGUAGCUCAGUCGGUAGAGCAAGUGACUGUUAAUCACUGGGUCGGCGGUUCGAGCCCGUCCCCGGGAGCCA